AUGAGAUAGGAAAGGGCCUGAAUCUGAGUAUUUUACAGAGAAACCUGGAAGCUAUUCCAGAGAAGAUGGGCAAGGAGUAAAAUUUAUCAAAUGUUGCUGGGAUAAUUAAACCAGAACAGACAGGAAACAAGAUGUUUGACCAAAGGGAAUGUUUUGUGUAGCACAUGCAAAGAAUUCACCUUCUAUUCAAGAUUAGCAGUUGAGAAGUUUUGAUGGUCCUUUAUGGAAGAGCAUUUGACAGUCACUUAUGAUUGGAAACUUUACUGCCCUUUCCAGGCAAGUGAAAAUCAGAGCAGUGACUGCAUUUAUUGAGGAAAAACCAGCACAGAACCCCCCCCAGGAGCUCUGACUGCCAGAAUUGUGGGGCUCCAUUGAUGCCAGUGCUGCUCUCAGAGUUUGUGUAAGGAUCAGAAGAGUUACAGCUUUUAAUAACUUAUUAUUACAAGAUUUCUCACAUCAGUGCUUCCCUGGCUUCAAGGAAGUCAUCCCCUAAACCAAAUACACUCAGCUUCAUAACUUCCUCUACAUAAAAUAUCUUUUCCAGGCAUCCCACCUUCCUUUUCCAGGGUAUUUUAUGUAUUCAGGAUCAGCCUGGAAAUUAGGCUGCAGAAUUAAACAGACUGUUCCAAUCAAGGGCUCAGCAAUGCCCUGUGGACAGCUGCCACCUCCUCCUCCCUGCUUCUGCUCCUUCCUGUCCUGCUUUUGCCUUCAGGUGUUGUGUCCUUGCCUUUCCUGCAGCAUUCUACUGACACUGAAUAUUCAGCUUCUCAUCUCUGAUUUCUGCAGUGCAGGACAUGUUGAUUUCUUUUAUUCCAGGCAUAAAUUUAUGGUGUUGCAGCUGUACAAAACGUGUUGUGCUGUAAUAAAAUCCAUUGAUUUACACGAAGACAUGGAAAGCCUUCUCUAGUGUUUCCUUCAUCCACAAUUCAUUGUGCAUUAAUAUCAAAUCAGGACAGA